GGAAUAAUGUUGCAUGUUUGUUGGUGGUGCUAUUAGAUGAAUUAAGGGAAGAAGAAUUUGGAGAGUACACACAUCUCAAAGAUGUCCCUUAAAUAUUCAAACUCAGUGCAAAUCUAUUGGCAUACAUCAAAUGGGAGUAUGUUCAUAUGUCCAGGGAAACACUACCAUAGUACAAUAGAAUCAGUCUUGUGCAUCGGACUUGAUUUAUGAAAUAAAGAUUGUGAUGAUAGCAUUCCAUGUAGCUGAAAUUAUCAACCUACACAUUUGUUAUUUAAUCUUCUUAUAGCUUCAUGCUGUGCCGGAAUAAGCAAUGAUCAAGAAACGAAUUAGCCUAUAGAUAAUUUGCAACCUCAGAUAAUUGAGUGACAUUGUACAAAUAAGAUUGUUGACUAACCAUAAUAGGAUCACUCAAGUAGUUCUACUUGACAUG
rnacentral:lncRNA from 1 species